rnacentral:lncRNA from 1 species
GACACUCCCCUUUCUGAACCCUGAGAGACAGAUACAUCCUUGCACCAGUAAAGAUCUCCAGAACCAGGCCUUAAUGUUCUAGGACAGCACAGCCUUGAAUGG